AUUGAACGCUGGCGGCAGGCCUAACACAUGCAAGUCGAGCGGAGCGGCGGACGGGUGAGUAAUGCCUAGGAAUCUGCCUGGUAGUGGGGGAUAACGUCCGGAAACGGGCGCUAAUACCGCAUACUAUCAGAUGUGCCCAGAUGGGAUUAGCUAGUAGGUGGGGUAAUGGCUCACCUAGGCGACGAUCCCUAGCUGGUCUGAGAGGAUGACCAGCCACACUGGAACUGAUACACGGUCCAGACGCCUACGUGAGGCAGCAGUGGGGAAUAUUGCACAAUGGGCGCAAGCCUGAUGCAGCCAUGCCGCGUGUGUGAAGAAGGCCUUCGGGUUGUAAAGCACUUUCAGCGAGGAGGCGUUACUCGCAGAAGAAGCACCGGCUAACUCCGUGCCAGCAGCCGCGGUAAUUC
rnacentral:rRNA from 1 species